rnacentral:rRNA from 1 species
GAACCUUUACUAUAGCUUGACACUGAACAUUGAGCCUUGAUGUGUAGGAUAGGGGGGAGGCUUUGAAGCGUGGACGCCAGUCUGCGUAGAGCCAACCUUGAAAUACCACCCUUUAAUGUUUGAUGUUCUAACGUUGGCCCCUGACCGGGGUUGCGGACAGUGUCUGGUGGGUAGUUUGACUGGGGCGGUCUCCUCCCAAAGCGUAACGGAGGAGCACGAAGGUUAGCUAAUCCUGGUCGGACAUCAGGAGGUUAGUGCAAUGGCAUAAGCUAGCUUGACUGCGAGCGUGACGGCGCGAGCAGGUGCGAAAGCAGGUCAUAGUGAUCCGG